rnacentral:tRNA from 1 species
CGGUUAGGACGAAAGCUUUUCAAGCUUUAAAGCCGGGUUCGACUCCCGGUAGGGUCA